ACACAUGUUAACCCUAUUUAAAAAAAACAACUUGUAUCUAGAGCACUCUCUAAACCAAUGAAUAAUGUCACCACAACCAUGGCAAUAUCUUAGAAUAAUUCAAUGUACUACCCCUACUGAUCCAAAAUAGUUGUGAUGGCCUAAAGAUCUAUGUCGAAUACUCUACAAGGUUUGAUGAGAAAUUUGUCUGUCGUGACCAUCACAACUACUCUAAGAUCCAC
rnacentral:lncRNA from 1 species